rnacentral:rRNA from 1 species
GAUGAACGCUGGCGGCGUGCCUAAUACAUGCAAGUCGAGCGAACGGACGAGAAGCUUGCUUCUCUGAUGUUAGCGGCGGACGGGUGAGUAACACGUGGAUAACCUACCUAUAAGACUGGGAUAACUUCGGGAAACCGGAGCUAAUACCGGAUAAUAUUUUGAACCGCAUGGUUCAAAAGUGAAAGACGGUCUUGCUGUCACUUAUAGAUGGAUCCGCGCUGCAUUAGCUAGUUGGUAAGGUAACGGCUUACCAAGGCAACGAUGCAUAGCCGACCUGAGAGAGUGAACGGCCACACUGGAACUAGGACACGGUCCAGACUCCUACGGGAGGCAGCAGUAAGGUAUCUUCCGCAAUGGGCGAAAGCCUGACGGAGCAACGACGCGUGAGUGAUGAAGGUCUUAGGAUCGUAAAACUCUGUUAUUAGGGAAGAAAAUAUGUGUAAGUAACUGUGCACAUCUUGACGGGACCUAAUCAGAAAGCCACGGCUAACUACG